UUCUACUUUUAAGUCGUUUCUUAAUUUGUUAUUUCUCAUUAAAAUUUGGCUCCCGCGCUUAGCAAAACUGUAAUUUUUAGUUUCCUUGUGGUACGCGUUCGAAAAUUCUUGCAUGUGAUUUAUUCAUAAGGGGGAAAAAUCGAUGUGGUAUCUGAUUUCUUAUCGUCCAUAUGGCCCCCACGCAAUAUGACCGCUGCUUUGAGGUUGAUCAUUUCAUCAAGACCUGAAAUUCUUCAGAUACAUUAGGCCAGACCUCGGCAAGCUAUGAUCCUCGGGUCACCGAUUGACCCAUUUCAAAAUUUCAAGUGACCCACUUGAGUUCGGAAAAUAAAG